rnacentral:snRNA from 1 species
AUACUUACCUGGUAGGGGAAAUACCAUAAUCGUGGAGAUGGUUUUCCCAGGGUGAGACUCAUCCAUUGCAUUGUGGGUGUGCUGACCUCUGUGAUUUCCCCAAAUGCUGGAAACUCGACUGCAUAAUUUGUGGUAGUGGGAGAUUGCGUCCUAACUGUCUCCUG